UUUAUAGAUCAAAUCUGUAAAUUUUUAAAAAUUUUAAAAAUCAUUUACUACUUCGUUUCAUUAAUUCAAAUCAAUGUAUAAAAUGAUUUUAUGAUUAUCCAUUAAUUUGAAUUAAUGAAAUGAAGUAUCAAAUGAUUUUCAAAUUUUUUAAAAAUUUACAGACUUGAUCUAUGCA
rnacentral:miRNA from 1 species